UUGUAGGACACUCUAUACGGAGUUACAAAGGACGACAUUAGACGAAUCAUCUGGAAAGAUGAAUCAAAGAAGGUAAUAAUCCUGUAGUCGAAAAUGUUGUCUCUCUUGAGUGGAUCCUGAGUACGACGGAGCACGUGAAAUUCCGUCGGAAUCUGGGAGGACCAUCUCCUAAGGCUAAAUACUCUCUAGUGACCGAUAGUGAACCAGUACCGUGAGGGAAAGGUGAAAAGCACCCCGGAAGGGGAGUGAAAUAGAACCUGAAACCGUGUGCUUACAAGUAGUCAGAGCCCGUUAAUGGGUGAUGGCGUGCCUUUUGUAGAAUGAACCGGCGAGUUACGAUUUGAUGCAAGGUUAAGCAGUAAAUGUGGAGCCGUAGCGAAAGCGAGUCUGAAUAGGGCGUUUAGUAUUUGGUCGUAGACCCGAAACCAGGUGAUCUACCCUUGGUCAGGUUGAAGUUCAGGUAACACUGAAUGGAGGACCGAACCGACUUACGUUGAAAAGUGAGCGGAUGAACUGAGGGUAGCGGAGAAAUUCCAAUCGAACCUGGAGAUAGCUGGUUCUCUCCGAAAUAGCUUUAGGGCUAGCCUCAAGUGAUGAUUAUUGGAGGUAGAGCACUGUUUGGACGAGGGGCCCCUCUCGGGUUACCGAAUUCAGACAAACUCCGAAUGCCAAUUAAUUUAACUUGGGAGUCAGAACAUGGGUGAUAAGGUCCGUGUUCGAAAGGGAAACAGCCCAGACCACCAGCUAAGGUCCCAAAAUAUAUGUUAAGUGGAAAAGGAUGUGGCGUUGCCCAGACAACUAGGAUGUUGGCUUAGAAGCAGCCAUCAUUUAAAGAGUGCGUAAUAGCUCACUAGUCGAGUGACACUGCGCCGAAAAUGUACCGGGGCUAAACAUAUUACCGAAGCUGUGGAUUGUCCUUUGGACAAUGGUAGGAGAGCGUUCUAAGGGCGUUGAAGCAUGAUCGUAAGGACAUGUGGAGCGCUUAGAAGUGAGAAUGCCGGUGUGAGUAGCGAAAGACGGGUGAGAAUCCCGUCCACCGAUUGACUAAGGUUUCCAGAGGAAGGCUCGUCCGCUCUGGGUUAGUCGGGUCCUAAGCUGAGGCCGACAGGCGUAGGCGAUGGAUAACAGGUUGAUAUUCCUGUACCACCUAUAAUCGUUUUAAUCGAUGGGGGGACGCAGUAGGAUAGGCGAAGCGUGCGAUUGGAUUGCACGUCUAAGCAGUAAGGCUGAGUAUUAGGCAAAUCCGGUACUCGUUAAGGCUGAGCUGUGAUGGGGAGAAGACAUUGUGUCUUCGAGUCGUUGAUUUCACACUGCCGAGAAAAGCCUCUAGAUAGAAAAUAGGUGCCCGUACCGCAAACCGACACAGGUAGUCAAGAUGAGAAUUCUAAGGUGAGCGAGCGAACUCUCGUUAAGGAACUCGGCAAAAUGACCCCGUAACUUCGGGAGAAGGGGUGCUCUUUAGGGUUAACGCCCAGAAGAGCCGCAGUGAAUAGGCCCAAGCGACUGUUUAUCAAAAACACAGGUCUCUGCUAAACCGUAAGGUGAUGUAUAGGGGCUGACGCCUGCCCGGUGCUGGAAGGUUAAGAGGAGUGGUUAGCUUCUGCGAAGCUACGAAUCGAAGCCCCAGUAAACGGCGGCCGUAACUAUAACGGUCCUAAGGUAGCGAAAUUCCUUGUCGGGUAAGUUCCGACCCGCACGAAAGGCGUAACGAUUUGGGCACUGUCUCAACGAGAGACUCGGUGAAAUCAUAGUACCUGUGAAGAUGCAGGUUACCCGCGACAGGACGGAAAGACCCCGUGGAGCUUUACUGUAGCCUGAUAUUGAAAUUCGGCACAGCUUGUACAGGAUAGGUAGGAGCCUUUGAAACGUGAGCGCUAGCUUACGUGGAGGCGCUGGUGGGAUACUACCCUAGCUGUGUUGGCUUUCUAACCCGCACCACUUAUCGUGGUGGGAGACAGUGUCAGGCGGGCAGUUUGACUGGGGCGGUCGCCUCCUAAAAGGUAACGGAGGCGCUCAAAGGUUCCCUCAGAAUGGUUGGAAAUCAUUCAUAGAGUGUAAAGGCAUAAGGGAGCUUGACUGCGAGACCUACAAGUCGAGCAGGGUCGAAAGACGGACUUAGUGAUCCGGUGGUUCCGCAUGGAAGGGCCAUCGCUCAACGGAUAAAAGCUACCCCGGGGAUAACAGGCUUAUCUCCCCCAAGAGUUCACAUCGACGGGGAGGUUUGGCACCUCGAUGUCGGCUCAUCGCAUCCUGGGGCUGUAGUCGGUCCCAAGGGUUGGGCUGUUCGCCCAUUAAAGCGGUACGCGAGCUGGGUUCAGAACGUCGUGAGACAGUUCGGUCCCUAUCCGUCGUGGGCGUAGGAAAUUUGAGAGGAGCUGUCCUUAGUACGAGAGGACCGGGAUGGACAUACCUCUGGUGUACCAGUUGUCGUGCCAACGGCAUAGCUGGGUAGCUAUGUGUGGACGGGAUAAGUGCUGAAAGCAUCUAAGCAUGAAGCCCCCCUCAAGAUGAGAUUUCCCAACUUCGGUUAUAAGAUCCCUCAAAGAUGAUGAGGUUAAUAGGUUCGAGGUGGAAGCAUGGUGACAUGUGGAGCUGACGAAUACUAAUCGAUCGAAGACUUAAUCAA
rnacentral:rRNA from 1 species